UGCUAAUACGUUCGCAUAUUAAGACGUCGGAAAACGUGUCUAAGGUUCGUGACAAUAUCGGCCAAAUGUCUUGAAAAAGUCGAACAAUGGGGUGUAGCUCUCCCGCCGGAGAUGGGGGGUGAACGAGAGACAAAAAAAUCGUAACGAUAUCAAUAUUGUCAGCCAGUGCUUCUAACUCUGCCUGAGUGGGAUUUAGCUUAACUUGCGCCAGCAAAAUACUCUGAAGUGAGGGUGCAAGAAAACUGUGCACAGAUUGGUAUACAUUCGCAACUGGCUGAAUGUCUACGAUGUGAGCCAAGCCUUGGGCAACUUCCAUGAGUGGGUCAGGAGCUAAGUACGUUUUGGCAUUUAAGUAAAACAUGUGUAAUUGGGAGAGAUGACCAACCAGUUGUUCCCUACAAUCAUAGCAGAAGUGCUUCAAGGCUUGAGCGGCUGCACUUUGAACCUCUUUAUUUGCAACCUCAAAACCAGCAGAAAUAUAAUUAAGUUGCAAUUCUAAAAAUUCUGAAUGUUGCGCAGUCCAUUCUGUGUAUCUACCAAGGAAUAGUGUAGCUGCAUAUCGAACUUUAUUGUUUUCUGGCAAUUGAGGAAGGAUUUGGAAAAGGCUACCGAUGACUUGAUCCUCGUUGGCAGGAACCAUUCUACCAAUGGCUCUUAAAGCAAAUAACGGAGCUUCGACAUCCUGCCAGUAGUAAGGAAGACCAGACUCCUUAAUUUUGAGCACUUUGAUAAGCUGACUAGAAAUCUGAACCAAACAAGAAGAUACACCAGCAACGACACAGCAAUCCUUGAGGACAUCACCCAUUUCAUGUCGAAAAGACCGAAAACGAUCUUCAGCAUCCCUAUCCUCAAAUAAUACUUCAUUAGAAGCCAUUUGCUCAUUUAUAGCCAAAUCUUCAGUUCGUGGAUAAUGCAAGUGACGCACAAUAAUACGAACCAACUCUAAAUAUAUAGGAGCAAAUAGCUGACGAGCUUCAGCAUAAACAUCCAACUCUACCAUUUGUUUGAGAUCCCACCAAAAUGCGAAUGUAAAUUUAAUCGCUUCCAGCUCUGUAUCGUUAGCUGCAACUUGAGCAAUGCAGUUUACUAAAGGCAAAAAAUCAUUCGGCAUCCUAGCAAUCAAAACAACCCAAGCUUCACCAGCCUCGGCAAAAAGCCUUCCUAGUGCACGAAAAGUUUCUGGGUCAUCACAGGCCGCAAUAAGUUUAGGCUGAAGUUCAAGUAAACGUGGAUAGAGCAUCAGUAUGGCAUCAGUAGUUUCAUCAACAUCUUUAGUCUCAUUAAAAAGGGCACAUAGAAAUUCUACAGCAUCUUCUAACAGUAAGUCAUCAUCCAGAGAACGGAAAGCAAGUUCAAUUAAGGGAGAAGCCAUAACUUUAUCAAGGGGAAUUUCUCUCAACCAGGAAAUCAAACUCGUAAGAACAAGACCAAGGUCAGCGCUCGAAGGAGAUCCUGAAGCACGGACAGCAUCGACAUAUUGCACCAGAAGCUCGAGUACUGCUGGACCGUUAUCACGAAGAAGUUCAUCAACACGAAUACAUAACUCCUCCCAACUCAAUGAAGUUUUCCUUGGAUCACUAGCUUCUUCAGGGAGUACUGAUAAAAACUGUAAAACACAUCUUCCACUGGGGUCUUUGGAGCUACAGGCUUGAAAAACAUCGGCUAUAACAUUAUGCCAUUCAGUCAUAUGUAAAGCAAUUGCAGCCAUACAAACAGCCAAUGAUACCAAUAAAGGUCUUGGACUAU
rnacentral:lncRNA from 1 species